GAUGAACGCUGGCGGCGUGCUUAACACAUGCAAGUCGAACGAAGCAUUCUAACGGAACAUUUUCUGAUGGGAAGUUAAAAUGACUGAGUGGCGGACGGGUGAGUAACGCGUGGAUAACCUACCAUAUACAGGGGGACAACAGUUGGAAACGACUGCUAAUACCGCAUAAGCGCACAGUGCCGCAUGGCACGGUGUGAAAAACGCCGGUGGUAUAUGAUGGAUCCGCGUCUGAUUAGCUAGUUGGUGAGGUAAUGGCACACCAAGGCAACGAUCAGUAGCCUACCUGAGAGUGUGACAGGGCACAUUGGGACUGAGACACGGUCCAAACUGCUACGGGAGGCAGCAGUGGGGAAUAUUGCACAAUGGGCGACAGCAUGAUGCAGCAACGCCGCGUGAGUGAUGAAGGCCUUCGGGUCGUAAAGCUCUGUCCUCAAGGAAGAUAAUGACGGUAUUUGAGGAGGAAGCCCCGGCUAACUACGUGCCAGCCGCCGCCGUAA
rnacentral:rRNA from 1 species